ACUAGUGUUUAUAUUCUCUUUGGAGAACAUCAAUAAAUCAAUAAUCUACAUACAGAUAGAUUUUUCGUUAACACUAGUAGGUAUUUGCAAUAUUAUUUCAAUGUGAGAAAUUUAUAUUUCCGAUCACGAUAAAAAGCUUUAAAAUGUCAUAUAUCACAUUAUGAUCACCGUUUAAACAUAUAAUUGUGAAUGGCGUCUGAAUUCGAUAGAAGACAUGAAUAUUUCAUCUGAAUUCGCCAUUGUUCCCACCUCGACCUACCUCACCAAGAAUCAGUAUUCAGAAUGGGCAUGCACAACUUGAAGAGGUUCAUUUCUACGCAGGAAUGGGCAUGCACAACUUGAAGAGCCAAAUGAUUCUUCACUAACAAUGACACCAGGAUGUCUUGAUCUUCGCCAUGGCAGAUGUCAUCAGCAGCUGAAGCUGUCAGGAGCAGCAAGACUGUCAGGAGGCUGUGGGUGCGAGGAUCGGCGAGUGCUCCGCGGAUGCACUGCGUAUUGCUAUGCAAAUUGCUAUGCGAAUGCCUAUUUAUCGAAAUGUCAUUUAUGUAAUUUAUUAUGUUAUCCUAUUUAUUAUGUUAUAUGAUAUUGUGUAUGUGUGCUGUUUUAAUUAAACAUUUUUUUUGCCUGAUUACUAUAAGAAAUAUUGUGCUCUUAAUAUUAUUUGUGCCGUGCAAUGCAAAAGAUAUAUUAUAAUUUAUAUUUAAGAUGAUGAUUUAUUUAAUCUUUAAUUGGAUCUAGGAUUAGUUUUAUGCCUAACUAAUAUUGCAGAUAUUCCAGUAAUGUUUUCAGCAUGUCUUAAUCUACACAUCGCCUGAAAGGGAUAUAUACUAUGAUCAGAAUUGAAAUAAAAUUGAGCACUGGGCACAUUUUGCGCAAAUUUUCAGCUUUAUUUUGAAAAUAAAGAAACUUGAAAUGUGCACAGUAACUAAGAUUGAAGUCGAUUAAAACUUAAAUCCUUAACGGCCAAGUGAACAUACCAGAAUAAAAUGAAGAAGAUUGGAAAGAAGUUUUAUUGAAGAAGGAAGAAUUAUAGUUUUAAUAAAAUAAACUAACCUAAUCUCUUUCUCUCUCUUGCUUUUUGCGAAUUUAUUUUGUGUAUAUAGAUUUUUUAAAGUAGGUACGAGCAUCAGGUUCCAAACAACCACAUCUAGAUGCCAGUACACUGCGGAUCGUUGCCAUGGCUGAAGAAUGGGGAGCACUAGCAUGACGACAGAAGAACAAAUACCAAUGGAAAGGAUCAUCAUCAUCGGAAUAUCAGCCUGAAGCGUUGGAUGGAACAGAGAGCUGGCAAUAAUUUGAUUCAUUUUAUAUUUGUUGAUACUUAUUUUCGGAGCAGUUGUGCGUUAUCUGAAAUGCCAGCAGUCGGAAUGAGUCAUACAUGAGACGGCGCAGUCCAGAAUGUCACAGAUACCCAUACAGAGUAUCAACUUAUCAAAUUAUGAAGGGCCCUUAAACUUUUUUCAUAUGACACAUAGUCACUACUAAUUGUUUAAGGAUGAAGUCUGAAGGUGCAUGAUGGAACUCAAUGGAACAAGUUAUGCAGUGAAGGAGGACAACGUCACAAUAGAGACAAUUCUAAGAUUGUAAUGAAAUGUAUAUUAAUGCAUAUGAAAUGCAAAAAUCCCCACAGUUGUGUAUAAUUCAAAGUGUAGUUGAAUAUAAAUGUACAAACUUUAUAAACUUGGAACUUAGAAAUUUUACACAAAAAUACAAAUUGUCAUCAUCAGUUCAGUUUAAAAGUAUAUAGAGUAGAUGUUGUGGGGAUAAGUGUUGUUUAUGUUGUCUUAGGAAUUAGAAUAAAAAGUAAUGAAGUUGUAAUAAAUAAUUACAGAAAGAAAAAAGGUAUCUCAAGAGAUAUCUACAUAAAUGUAAUAACUAUAUGACUACCAAAAUUGAAAAUGUAAUUUGACAUGGCCAUGUCAAUGUUAUUUGUAUGAAUGUGUUAUUUUAUAUAAAUAACACAUACAAAUAUAUUAACAACCAUAUAGUACACCAAGUACUGUGAUGUAAUGCAUUAGAUAAUAGCACUCAUUUGCUUUAAUAAAUGCUUAAGUUAAAUCUCAAGUCCUAGGUUGACAAGGUUCUAUCUUUAAUGUUGGGUACAUUGUGUGCUGACAUUUAUUCAGGCAAAAGAGUGGAUAUAAAGAAAUAAACUUUUGGCCGAUAACAGGUGAUUGUUGCCUUUUAUUAAAUUUAACAGCAACAGAAAUAGGCAAUAAUACAUUUUGUUACUGAUAUUAUAUCGAGCAAAUGUUUAUUCUCAGACCAAUGUUGUUAUAUAUACAAAUGUAAGUUGAAACAUGUUUUUGAAAAGAGUGCAAUGAGGAGUUUCUUGCGCCGCUUCUUCUCCUUCAGGAGCACCAUUUCGUUUGUGAAGCGGUGGUAGAGUCAAGUAAUCAAAUAAAAGAAGAUUUAAUAAAAA